rnacentral:misc_RNA from 1 species
GUUAUCUCGGAACAUACUGCAAGUUUUAACAGUUUUUCUUACACGUCCUAUGUAUACUUCCGUUGCAAACCUAAUAAUGGUGAACUACAUGUUUCUAAGAGGGCAAGUUCCUAGGAAAGUUGCAAAGGAAUAUUGUCUCAGAAACCACAUUGGCAUGUGUUUUUGUGAAGUGUGAAGAAAGAUGAAAAAAACUUCUUUUUCAACUAUUGAGAUCUUCAGUUUCGAUUAAAUAAAUACAUAUCAAGAGGUUGAGGAAAUUUGUGAUUUCUGAAUUACGUUUAUCUUCUUGGCUGACUGGUAGGAAAACUGAUGUCAAAGAUAAGAUGGAUUCGUGAAUAAAUUUACCAUUUGCUCGA